GUCAAUAGUCAAUAUUGCUUCACUAUUUGAAUGGGACAUGGCCAUUCCAUCCGUAUUGAAUUGACAGUUCAUUGGAUGGAACAGAAUUUUUUAGAUGAUUUUGGUAUAAUAAUUCCAAAACAAAAAUUUGAUUACUAAAGCAUAUUGGACAAUUUUUUUAAAGGAACCAAUUGACUUUAAACAUGGGUAUAAUGGUAAAAUCAGGUCAGAAGCGAUCAUGGGCCCCAUUUUUUUUCUUCUGUGAUGACUGUGGGAAGGGAACCCAUUUGCCAAACUACAAAUGGUCAUGGUCCCCCAUUGACUUGUCCAGUCCAGUUGAAAAGUGCUGCAGAACUGACAAAUUUGUUUGUGGUUUAUCCAUUUAAAAAGAUUGGAUCAGAAUAACCCCAGAUCUAUAAUGCCUGUACCUACAAGGAAUUUCCAAACAGUAAUUAUUUAUUAAAAAAAAUUAAUAACCUAGGUAACAGACAAAAUUAAAGAUUACAUUAACUCCACAAACUGCUCCAGAACCCCUAACUUUUGAAAAAGCAUAGAAAACGAUACAGUUUGAGAUAAUGCCCAAGGAAGACUUUCUGGAAGAUGAAAUACUGGUUAGAUAUAGUAUUUUUACUACAAAAACGUUAUUACGUAGGUCAAAAUUUUUGACGUAAGAGAACUGUCAAAACAUUAGAAUGUGACUUUUCAUUAUUGCUAUGUUUAUUAUAAACACGGCAAUAAUGAAAAGUCACAUUCUAAUGUUUUGACAGUUCUCUUACGUCAAAAAUUUUGACCUACGUAAUAACGUUUUUGUAGUAAAAAUACUAUAUUAAGAACACCUUAUAACAAUGGACAACGACAGAACACCUAGUAGAACGUUUAGCAGAGCUAUGGUGGGAUGUAGGCCAGUAGGAAGACCAUGGAAGGGGUGGAUGGAUGAAGUGGGAACUCAUGCUAAAGAAGCAUUGAUGGUGGACAACUGGAGGAGAGCAGCCAGGGACCAAGAUACUUUGAGGCAGAUGCUGGGGGAGACCUGAAUCCAAUUUGUUAUAAACCAAAUAUUUACUUUCAAUUAACCCUCUAGUGCCCUACUCCACCUCAAGGUGGACCUAUACAGCUAUACCUAUACAGCUCAAACCCAAAUCUAGAUUAGAUUGGAUAAGCAUCCAGCCGUUAAAAGUUUGGCCAAUCAGACAAAUUUUUACUCUGUAAUUAUCAGUUUAGUGUGAAAUUUGGUAGCGAUACUAAAAAAAUUUGGGCAUUAGAGGGUUAACACAAAUCAUUCAAUUAUAUCUAUUUAUUUGCCUGCCUCUUUGUAUUUGUACUUUGUUUUUAUAGUGGUAACCCAAAACUUAAUCACGAUAAUAUUUGCAAAUGCUUAAUACCACAAUUAUCAAUACAGUGACGAGUGUGCUAAUAACUGGCAAAAUAACACAAAAGACAUAAAACACAAUACGUUGUGAAGUAAAAAGCAACGAAAAUGUAGAGGUGGGAAAUUAUCAAUAAAACAUAUAAAUUUACAUCAUAUUGAUAGUUUUCCACCUUAAGAUGCAUCGGAGGAGUUUCGCUACUGCCACUGUGACAGGAGAUUUUUUUUAAAUUCUCCAGCCUAACUCCAAUACAUCUAAAGGUGGGAAACUAUCAAUAAUUGUAAUUUUAUAGGGUUCUAUUGAUCAUUUUCCAUCUUUUUUGUUGUUUUGCUAGUUAUUAGCGGACUCGUCUUUGUAGUCAGUUCUUCUUCUUCUUCUCCUUCGUGCGACUAGAAUUAUUCCUGUUUGUCUGCGCCUUAUUUUGUUUUAGUUGUUGUUGACUGUAUAUUGUCUUUCCACGUUUUUGACAGCCUUCCAAAGGGUCUUUUGCUAUAACGGCUUGUUGUUUUUACAGAUGUUUGCCAAUCUAUCUGGUUCCAUUUGGUUUACAUAUGUUCGUUCCUGUUUUUUUCUUGUUUUUAUCCACCUGUUAAUAUUUUUGAAUUUGGAAUUGUUCGCAUAUACUUCUGUUGCUUUGCCUGUCUCUUAACGAUAUGCUCGUUAUUGAUUUUAAUACUUUCAUUUCGAUAUUGUUGAUUUGUUGUUUUAUCGGUUCUUGUCUAUGCUGCAUAUGUUAAGAUUGGUCUUACUGUUGUCUUGUAUACUUUUAUUUUGCUUUCUAUGGUCAGAUAUUUGUUUCUCCAUAUGGUUUCUCGUAGGCAACCACUUACUCUUGCUGCUUUUGCUGCUUGCCUUGUGGUCUCUGUUCUUAUAUCCCUGUCACUAGUGAUCUCUACUCCUAGGUAAUUGAAUUUCAUUACUUGUUCUACAAUUUUACCGUAUAUUUCCUGCACAGCUCUUUACUGAUCCCUAUAGGUACAUUUAGUUUUUGCCACUGAUAUUUUCAUAUUGUUUUUUUUGCUGUAUUAUUGAAGUUAUUGAGCUGCCGUUGUAGGUCAUCCUCGUUAUCAGUAAUUAGUACUGCAUCAUGUGCAUAGCAUAAUAUCGUGAUUUUAUGCGCUCCCAUGUGGUGUCUAUGUCGUUUUCUUACUUCGUGUAUUAUUUGAUUCAUCACCAUAUUGAAUAACAAUGGUCUGAGCGAGUCUCCUUGGCGGAUUCCUCCUUUUAGUUCUAUGCAUUCUGUUUAUCCUGUUGACAUUAUAACUCUGGUCUUGUUGUUCUUGUUGUUUAAUUAAUUAUCCUUAUUAUCUGAUGGUCUAUUUGUUCAGCUUGUAAUAAAUUUAAGAUGUCAUUUCGCCUCACCCUGUCACAAACACUUUUUAGAUCUACAAAGCACAUGUAUGCUGGUUUUCCAUAUUCAAUAGACUUUUCUAUUAUUUGUCUGAUAAUAAAAAUUGCAUCUGUUGUGCUAUGUAGUCAGUUCAAAAUUUAUUAUUAUUUCAAAAAACUAUCUUAAUUUGAAUGAUAAACAUGUUCCUUUGUACCUUUUUGAAUGUUUACUCAUUAAUAUUGUAUAAAUCCCAAAUUUUCUAGAGUUUCUUGGACCGGCAUUACUAUGCAUGUCCUAGAAAUCUUUGUGCUGCUGAAAGACCUUAUGUUGCAUUAUUUUAAAAUUGUUCUAUCUUAAAAAUGUAAAUUUAACAAUUCUUCUGUUUUGUUUUAGGUUAUGUAGCAAGUAGGUACUUAAGUGGUCACUAAUGAUGAUCUGAUAGGACCGAAAACUUUUUGAACAAUAGUAAUCCGUUUGGAUUUGUUAUUUUUGAUUUUUUUAACAAAUGUAGGUAUCAAUUAAUUUGGAUUUUUUUUUACUUCCUUGUAAAAGUUUUUUAAACAUAGUUUCUUUUAUCCUUGUAAAAGUUUUUUAAACAUAGUUUCUUUUAUUCGAAACCUUCAGGUAUUAAAUUAAUGGAACCAUACUACUUUUAAAUAAAAACUCGUUUUAUGUUAA
rnacentral:lncRNA from 1 species